GCCUAAAGCGUCCGUAGCCGGCUCUGUAAGUUUUCGGUUAAAUCCAUAUGCUCAACAUAUGGGCCGCCGGGAAUACUGCAAAGCUAGGGAGUGGGAGAGGUAGACGGUACUCCGUAGGAAGGGGUAAAAUCCUUUGAUCUAUGGAUGACCACCUGUGGCGAAGGCGGUCUACCAGAACACGUUCGACGGUGAGGGAUGAAAGCUGGGGGAGCAAACCGGAUUAGAUACCCGGGUAGUCCCAGCUGUAAACUAUGCAAACUCAGUGAUGCAUUGGCUUGUGGCCAGUGCAGUGCCGCAGGGAAGCCGUUAAGUUUGCCGCCUGGGAAGUACGUACGCAAGUAUGAAACUUAAAGGAAUUGGCGGGGGAGCACCACAAGGGGUGAAGCCUGCGGUUCAAUUGGAGUCAACGCCAGAAAUCUUACCCGAAGAGACAGCAGGAUGAAGGCCAAGCUGAAGACUUUACCAGACAAGCUGAGAAGUGGUGCAUGGCCGUCGCCAGCUCGUGCCGUGAGGUGUCCUGUUAAGUCAGGUAACGAGCGAGAUCCUUGCCUCUAGUUGCCACCAUUACUCUCAGGAGUAGUGGGGCGAAUUAGCGGGACUGCCGUAGUUAAUACGGAGGAAGGAGAGGGCCACGGCAGGUCAGUAUGCCCCGAA
rnacentral:rRNA from 1 species